rnacentral:rRNA from 1 species
AUUAGGUAGUUGGUGGGGUAAAGGCUUACCAAGCCCGCGAUCUGUAGCUGGUCUGAGAGGAUGAUCAGCCACACUGGGACUGAGACACGGCCCAGACUCCUACGGGAGGCAGCAGUGGGGAAUUUUGGACAAUGGGCGCAAGCCUGAUCCAGCCAUGCCGCGUGAGUGAAGAAGGCCUUCGGGUUGUAAAGCUCUUUCGGCCGGGAAGAAAUCGCAUGGGUUAAUACCCUGUGUGGAUGACGGUACCGGAAUAAGAAGCACCGGCUAACUACGUG